GCCGCCCUGGCUUCCUUCUACCUGUGCGGCCCUCAACGUCUCCUUGGUGCGGGACCCGCUUCACUUUCGGCUCCCGGAGUCUCCCUCCACUGCUCAGACCUCUGGACCUGACAGGAGACGCCUACUUGGCUCUGACGCGGCGCCCCAGCCCGGCUGUGUCCCCGGCGCCCCGGACCACCCUCCCUGCCGGCUUUGGGUGCGUUGUGGGGUCCCGAGGAUUCGCGAGAUUUGUUGAAAGACAUUCAAGAUUACGAAGUUUAGAUGACCAAAAUGGAUAUCCGAGGUGCUGUGGAUGCUGCUGUCCCCACCAAUAUUAUUGCUGCCAAGGCUGCAGAAGUUCGUGCAAACAAAGUCAACUGGCAAUCCUAUCUUCAGGGACAGAUGAUUUCUGCUGAAGAUUGUGAGUUUAUUCAGAGGUUUGAAAUGAAACGAAGCCCUGAAGAGAAGCAAGAGAUGCUUCAAACUGAAGGCAGCCAGGUGAUGAAUAAACAUUAUAUAAUGAACACUUCCCCGUGUCAUCCAAAAGUUUAGAAAAAUCUUAGUGAUUAUAAGUGACUUCCAGUUUUCUUGCUAAUUUGGAAAGAACGUUAUAUUGAGCAUGUUUACCUUCAUCCUUUUCUGUAUUUCUGAAUAUUUUCUUAGAAUAUACACCUGGAAGACAAAUUUCUGGAAAAGAAGUUACUGUUUCAGAGUAUGUUAAGUUUUAAAAGUUGCUUAACUUUUCUUUUUUUAAGAGAAUUUUUUCCACUUGGUAUUCUUACUAGUAAUGUUUGAAAUACCUAAUAUAAUUGAAAAUGUUUGAAUUUGCUAAGUUAAAAGGGAUAUCACUUUGAUGACAUGGGAUUACAUUAUUUUCCUGUUGAUUUAUUAAGUAUUUAUAUGUCCUUUGAAAUUUUUUUGGCGGUGGCAUUCUUUUUAUUUUAAUAUAUAAGGUUUUGUUACUUUUUGAUAAACAGUCUUUUUACAUACAAAAUUUAUUACUGUUUGCCAUAUUUAUAGCAAACAUAGUUUCCUUUUUUACUAUUUAUCUUUGAAGGGUUGUGGAGUUUUUUCAUAUACAGUGGUUUAAAAUGUUUAGUUACAUAUAUUGAUGUUUUACAUUCUUUCAUGGUAAGUUUAUUGUAGAAAAAUAAAAUACUAUUAAGCAAAAGAAAAAAGUUAUUCUACCUAAUAUUUCUCUGUUCAAGGUGACUUGUUUACACUUAGCGUAUACCUCUCUAGAUAUUUUUCUGUGCAUAAAAUAACUUAUACACUUAUUUCUACAAAUGUGAACUUUUUACAAAAAGGGGUGAUAUGUACAUAUCUUUGUUCUUUUCAUUUAACUGUAUAUUCUUCCCUUCCCUACUAUGCCUGUAAAGAUAUUUCUGUGGUAUUUAAAAUAAUUAAUUUAUUAUUAUUUCCCAUUUAUGGAAAGUUCCGUUGUGUAAUUUUCCAUUUAAUGGAUGAACCAUAAUGAUCUAAACUAAUUCUAUACUGUUGCAUAUUUUGGCUACUUCCUUUUUUUUCUGUUUUGAGGCGAACAGUUAGUAAUCUCAUAAUUAAUUCGAGAAGUGCAAUUAUCUGGCUGGGUGCAGUGGCUCACACUUGUAAUCCCAGUACUUUGGGAGACUGAGGCGGGCAGAUCACUUGAGGUCAGGAGUUCGAGACCAGCCUGGCCAACAUGGUAAAACUU
rnacentral:lncRNA from 1 species